UGAGCUGAGCCGGGUAGGUCAGCUGAGCAUGCCUGCUGAAGCUGCUCGGUUUAGAGAUACUCUGGGCCGAGGAGACCAGGCAGAGCCGGGAGAGCGCGCGGGGGUGGACGGUGUGAGCCGCGCGGAGGAGACGGGCCAUAGCCAUGUCCCCGAGAGCGCUGCUGCAGUUGAGGAGCGCGGUCAGGGCUGCCUGGGGCUCGAGAGUUUGGGGAGCCUCUGCUCGCUGUUUUCUGGGGCAAGGGACAGCCCCCAGAUCAGCGGCCGCCUGGAAGGCGUUGAGAUCAUCAGAAGAAGUCCACCAUAAUUUCUGUACUGCUGCUUCUCAGAGUGUCACCUACAAAGAACUGAAAAAUUUGCUACAUUCCAAAUCCAAUUUGUUGAUUGAUGUUAGGGAGCCAUGGGAAAUUCUAGAAUAUGGAAAAAUUCCAGGGUUUCUCAAUAUACCAUUGGGUGAAAUAGAUCAAGCUCUACAAAUGGAUUCAGAGGACUUUAAAAAGAAGUACAAUCAAGAUAUGCCUUCUAAGUCUGACACCCUGGUGUUUUCUUGUCUAGGAGGAGUGAGAAGCAAGAAAGCUCUAAAUACUGCCUUAUCAUUAGGUUACAAAAGUGCUCGGCACUAUCCUGGAGGUUGGAAAGAGUGGGAAAGCUAUGAAUAUCCAGAGAAGAAAAAAUGACAUGACAAUGAAUUUUGAAAUCCCAAUUAACUGUUUUGAAAACUAUUUAUUUUUAAGUGAGACUUCUUUGACUCUGAAGAAAUGCAAUCUUUUUAAUAAUUCGUCUGUACAUAGAAAGUUGACAGCAUCACAGAAAGAAUGGAUAAGAGGUAAGACCAACAGAUUUGUGAGAUUUGUAAAGAUAAAUGAAAAAUUAAUCUUUCUUAAUUAUCUGUUGGAUUUUUACAAUUGCACAUCCUACCAACAGCUUCUGUUUAAAACGGACCAAUCAUUCUUCCUAAUUCCAACAUUUCCGUCAAAGGCACCAUUAUACUAGUGACCAAGGUUUGAGAACAUGCAGUCCUUUUCAAUUCUUCACUCUCCUUCCCUGACCCCCCACCCCCAUAAAUAUCCGGUUGCCAGAUUAUGUUGGUUCUACAUGCCACAUUUGUCCCCUCCUCUCUAUUCUCACUACAACAUCACUUGUUAGACCUCUAAUCCUUCUGGCCUAGGCUACUGUAAUAGUUUCCUAAUUGGUCUCCUUGCCUCCAGUCUCUCUUUAGUAACCAAACUGAUAUCAGGUGUGGCCAUGUCACUCCCCUCCUCUAGAAACUCCCAUGCCUCCCCAGUUUCUUUAGGAUAAUAAAAACUCUUGUUCGGCAUUUAAAAACCUUUCACAGCCUGGCUCCAGGCUCUUUCCAGGCUUACUGCAUGUUACUCUCCUUCACACACUUGGUGUUGCCUAUAUACAACAUUCUUUCUUCUUGCUGUCUCCCAUUCCUAGAAUGCAUCCACUCCGGCAGUUUGGGAGUCCCAGACUUUCUUCAAACUUGAAUCAAGUGUACCACCCCCACUGUUAGAAGUAUUCCUGCCUCUCCAUAUUAUUUUAUUAUUUAUUAUUAUUUGUUUUAUUUUGUUUUGUAUUUAUUUACAUAUGUCUAGUUUCCCUCCAAUAGAAUAUGUCUCUUGAAGACAGAAAAAUAUUUUGGUUUUGUAUGCUUAGCACUUAGCAUAAUGCCUGGAACAGAGCUCUUGACCUUUGUUGAAUGAACAGAAAAAAGAAAUUUAGUGUUCUGUUCUUUUAUAUGUGAGUAAAAAGAUUACUUAAUAAAUGAGAAAUUGGAAUUUUAUCACAGGCUUUUUGUAUGCUGAAAAGUUUCUGGUGUAAAUAAAUGAUUGUUAAUAAGGCAUUAUACACAUGGAAAUUUGUGCUUAAAAAUAUCUAAGUACAUUUGCACUACUGUAUUGUGACUAUUUUAUCAUUAGUCAAUAUUCUGGAUUGUUUUUAAACAUCAGAAAAAAAAUUCAUGGAAUCACAGUAUUUCACAAUUUGAAAGGGAUUUUAGAGAUCCAGCUAGUCCAAUUCCUACUGGUAGCAUGAAUCCCAUAUACAAUAUUCUUGUAUUCAUUAUUUGCUUGCAUAUCUCUAGUGUUGGAGCUUGUGAUUUCCCAAGGCUGGCUAAUUCAUCUUUGGAUGGCCCCGCUUAUUAGGAUGUUAUUCCUUAUACUGUCAAAAUCUGCUUUCCUUAUCCUUCUUCCCCCCAUUACUCACCCCUGGUCUUCUUAGUCUAGUCAGAGUAUUGCCAUAUGGAGCUAAUUUAAUCCUUCUGCAUGACAAGACUUCAAAUAUGUAUAGCUGGUAGUACUGUAGUCUACCUGUCCCACAAGUUAAUAUGCCCAUUGCCUUUAUUUGAGGCUUUUUCUAAAACUGCCUUGUCUGAAGUUUCCUUCACAAGGAAGUGAAGAUUAAAAAAGCUAUCUGAAAUAACUAUCACUUUGGUGUACUGUGUAUGACUGUAAUUUGAUUUAAAACUUUUUAAAAAAAAUUCAGUUUUACUUUCAAGUCCAAAUUCUCUCUCUCCCAACUAUCCGCUCCUGUUCCUGCCCCCCCGCCUAAAAAAACAAUUAUAAACACAUACAGUCAAGCAAAAUAAAUUCCUGCACUGACGAUGCCACCCCACCUUCUGGGGGAAAAAAAGCCUCAAUCUGUAUUUUGAGUCCCUACCUUAUCAUGAGUUGUCUGGAAUUGUGGUUGGUCAUUGUCAUGAUCAGAAUUUCCAAGUCUUUCAAAGUUCUUGUCCUUAUAAUACUGUUGUUGCUGUAGAAAUUAUUCUUCUGAUUCUGCUCACUUCACUUUAUAUCAGUUCAUACAAGUCUUCCUUGGUUUCUCUGAAACCAUUUUCAUCUUCAUUUCUUACAGCAUAGUAGGAUUACAUCAUUUUUAUAUACCUUAACUUGUUCAGCCAC